UACGUAGGGUGCAAGCGUUGUCCGGAAUUAUUGGGCGUAAAGAGCUCGUAGGCGGUUUGUCACGUCGGCCGUGAAAACUCGGGGCUCAACCCCGAGCCUGCGGUCGAUACGGGCAGACUAGAGUGCUGUGGGGGAGACUGGAAUUCCUGGUGUAGCGGUGAAAUGCGCAGAUAUCAGGAGGAACACCGGUGGCGAAGGCGGGUCUCUGGGCAGUAACUGACGCUGAGGAGCGAAAGCGUGGGGAGUGAACAGG
rnacentral:rRNA from 1 species